GAGUUUGAUCAUGGCUCAGAUUGAACGCUGGCGGAAUGCUUUACACAUGCAAGUCGAGCGGCAGCGCGGGAUUCAGGCAACUGAGCCCUGGCGGCGAGCGGCGAACGGGUGAGUAACACAUCGGAACGUACCCUAUCGUGGGGGAUAGCUCGGCGAAAGCCGGAUUAAUACCGCAUACGACCUGAGGGUGAAAGCAGGGGAUCGCAAGACCUUGCGCGACGGGAGCGGCCGAUGUCGGAUUAGCUAGUUGGUGAGGUAAAGGCUCACCAAGGCGACGAUCCGUAGCUGGUCUGAGAGGACGACCAGCCACACUGGAACUGAGACACGGUCCAGACUCCUACGGGAGGCAGCAGUGGGGAAUUUUGGACAAUGGGGGCAACCCUGAUCCAGCCAUUCCGCGUGAGUGAAGAAGGCCUUCGGGUUGUAAAACUCUUUCAGCAGGAACGAAACGGUGAGCUCUAACAUAGCUUACUAAUGACGGUACCUGAAGAAGAAGCACCGGCUAACUACGUGCCAGCAGCCGCGGUAAUACGUAGGGUGCGAGCGUUAAUCGGAAUUACUGGGCGUAAAGCGUGCGCAGGCGGUUUUGUAAGACAGAUGUGAAAUCCCUGGGCUUAACCUAGGAACUGCGUUUGUGACUGCAAGACUUGAGUGUGG
rnacentral:rRNA from 1 species